CAGUCGCCACGGGAAUACAGAGGGUGCGAGCGUUAAUCGGAUUUACUGGGCGUAAAGCGUGCGUAGGCGGCUUUUUAAGUCGGAUGUGAAAUCCCUGAGCUUAACUUAGGAAUUGCAUUCGAUACUGGGAAGCUAGAGUAUGGGAGAGGAUGGUAGAAUUCCAGGUGUAGCGGUGAAAUGCGUAGAGAUCUGGAGGAAUACCGAUGGCGAAGGCAGCCAUCUGGCCUAAUACUGACGCUGAGGUACGAAAGCAUGGGGAGCAAACAGGAUUAGAGACCCCUGUAGUCCCUGUCUCUUAUAC
rnacentral:rRNA from 1 species